UAGGGAAUAUUGGACAAUGGGGGCAACCCUGAUCCAGCCAUGCCGCGUGAGUGAAGAAGGCCCUCGGGUUGUAAAGCUCUUUUGUCCGGAAAGAAAAGCAUUCGGUGAAUACCCGGAUGUUCUGACGGUACCGGAAGAAUAAGCACCGGCUAACUUCGUGCCAGCAGCCGCGGUAAUACGGAGGGUGCAAGCGUUAUCCGGAUUCACUGGGUUUAAAGGGUGCGUAGGUGGGCAGAUAAGUCAGUGGUGAAAUCUUCCGGCUUAACCGGGAAACUGCCGUUGAUACUAUUUGUCUUGAAUAUUGCGGAGGUAAGCGGAAUAUGUCAUGUAGCGGUGAAAUGCUUAGAUAUGACAUAGAACACCAAUUGCGAAGGCAGCUUACUACACAAUCAUUGACACUGAGGCACGAAAGCGUGGGUAGCGAACA
rnacentral:rRNA from 1 species